rnacentral:rRNA from 1 species
UUUGCUGACGAGUGGCGGACGGGUGAGUAAUGCUUGGGAAUCUGGCUUAUGGAGGGGGAUAACUACUGGAAACGGUAGCUAAUACCGCGUAAUGUCUACGGACUAAAAGGGGCGAAAGCUCUUGCCAUAAGAUGAGCCCAAGUGGGAUUAGGUAGUUGGUGAGGUAACGGCUCACCAAGCCGUCGAUCUCUAGCUGGUCUGAGAGGAUGACCAGCCACACUGGAACUGAGACACGGUCCAGACUCCUACGGGAGGCAGCAGUGGGGAAUAUUGCACAAUGGGGGAAACCCUGAUGCAGCCAUGCCGCGUGAAUGAAGAAGGCCUUCGGGUUGUAAAGUUCUUUCGGUGAUGAGGAAGGUGUAAUGGUUAAUACCCAUUACAAUUGACGUUAGUCACAGAAGAAGCACCGGCUAACUCCGUGCCAGCAGCCGCGGUAAUACGGAGGGUGCAAGCGUUAAUCGGAAUAACUGGGCGUAAAGGGCACGCAGGCGGUUGUUUAAGUGAGGUGUGAAAGCCCCGGGCUCAACCUGGGAAUUGCAUUUCAGACUGGACAACUAGAGUACUUUAGGGAGGGGUAGAAUUCCACGUGUAGCGGUGAAAUGCGUAGAGAUGUGGAGGAAUACCGAAGGCGAAGGCAGCCCCUU